GAUGAACGCUAGCGGCAGGCCUAAUACAUGCAAGUCGAACGGUAUUCAGAUGCUUGCAUUUGAAGAGAGUGGCGCACGGGUGCGUAACGCGUAUGAAACCUACCUUUAACAGGGGGAUAGCCUCUCGAAAGAGAGAUUAAUACCGCAUAAUAUCGGGAGUGGGCAUCCACAUUCGAUUAAAUAUUUAUAGGUUAAAGAUGGUCAUGCGUGACAUUAGCUAGUUGGAGAGGUAAUGGCUCACCAAGGCGACGAUGUCUAGGGGAUCUGAGAGGAUGGCCCCCCACACUGGUACUGAGACACGGACCAGACUCCUACGGGAGGCAGCAGUAAGGAAUAUUGGUCAAUGGACGGAAGUCUGAACCAGCCAUGCCGCGUGCAAGAAGAAGGCCCUACGGGUUGUAAAUUGCUUUUAAUCGAGAAUAACAGUAACUACGUGUAGUUGUAUGAAAGUAUCGAUAGAAUAAGGAUCGGCUAACUCCGUGCC
rnacentral:rRNA from 1 species